ACUUCAGUUCUUUGCUCUUCAGAAAAAAAAUGAGAGUUUUUCUCUCAAAAGCCCCUCUCCCCCGGUCCUAGCUCCGACCGAUAGUCACCGUGCCGGAUCCCGGUCGCCGGUGGCCGGCGAAGGUAAAAAGGGUGUUUUUUUAGAUCUCGCCCCCCUAAGCCCAAAUCUGGCCUUAAAAUGCCCAAAAAGCAAAAGAAAAAGGACCACCAGCCUUCUCAACGACCGAUUCUGUCACCGGAGGUGAAGCCUCCGACUACAAGGACACGGAACGACUCCGUUUACAGGGUUGCUGGAGCAGGUGGGCAGAGGGCAGGUGCGGCGCUGGAUGUGACGGAGGCGCAGAAGACCGAGGGUCAGAAGACCCUAGGUGCGGCGCCUAGGGUUCUUUUGUUUUCUGCUAGGGCUUUUCAUAGUUUUGGGUUUUGGGCUAAGGUAUUGUAAUGGGUUUUGGGCUUAUUUGUUUUCUCUGGUGGGCCGGGCAAAUUUGGGCUUCUACAUAUAUAUUUUAAAAACGUAAUGUAUAAUACGAUAAUAACGAAAUAAUGGAAGAUAACUAUAUGAGUAAAAUAUUUAAAAGGUAAAUAACAAGUAAUGGAAUACAAUAAUAAUGAUGAUGUGAUUAUAAUAACACCAAAUAAUAACAAUAAUCAUAUUAACUAUUAUUCUAAUGCUAAAACAAUAGAAAUGAAUUAAACAUUAAUAAUGAUGAUAAUGAAAUGUGUAAGUAAAGAAGCAAACAACACUAUAAAUUCUAAUUACAAGAAAAAUAAAAAUAAAAUAAAAAUAUACGAAUGAAUAUGCGAAUAAAUAAAUAAAACAAAAAGAGUAAAUAAAUAAUAAAAGCUUGAAAUUAAACAACGAAGGAUUAAAUUGGGAUUAAAAUAAAAUUUAGAGUCAAAAUUAUGAUGAAAUAGGUGAAUAAACAUAAAAGGGACUAAAUCAGAGCUUGAAUGGGAUUUAAAGGUAUAAAUUACAAAUAAAAAAAGGGAAAAGGGGCAAACUAAAACGCGCUGAAAAAGGGUGAGGACUAGAUGGGAAAUUAUUCCUAGUCCUUUGGAGAGCACCGUUUCAAUUUGGACCGAAAUGAAGAAAAAUGAAAUUAUGCCGUAAAAUGUAAGAAAGAAAAAAAGUUUAGGACUAAAUUGCAAAGUCGCGUAAAAGAGGAAAGGCCAUAUGCGAAAUUACCCCUUCAACGCAGAAACACGAGGAUCCUGAGGGCCAACGGGUUGGUUUUCGAGUCUGAGGCCAAAACGAUGUCAUUUUGGCCUCUAGGCUCACUCCUCAAAACGGCGUCGUUUCAUGUCUUUACUUAAACUAAAUUUUUUUCUUAAAAUUUCAUUUUUUUCAGUGUUUAAAAAAAAACUUCAAAAACCUCCCAUCUCUCUCAAAAAACUCUCCCCCCAUUCGGCCGAUGGUCUCCCUCGACCUCCGUCGCGCCACCGCUGUGGCCAGCAGCCGGCACUAGAAAAAUGGGCCCCUUAGCCCUUAUUGUACGGCGUCCUUGAUCGCUAAGCUCUCUCAACCCGCGAGGAUAAAAAAAACAGGGGAGACUCUCGACGCCUUCGGACCCGAAUCGGGUGAUGAAGGAGAAGCCCUCUAACAGCGUGGCCACGAUCGUCUCCGGUGAGUCUCCUUUUCCCCCUUUUUUAUUUUUAUUACUUAGUAUGUAAAAAAUAACAAUAAAGUAAAAAAGGAUAAAUAACGAGAAUCGAACCAGAAAGCAAAAAGAAAAUCACCUCUCAAAUCUGUUCUGUUUUCGUUUUUUUAAUCUUCGUAAAAAAGAAAAAAAAUUACAGAGAUAAAAUUCGGCUUUUAUAGCCGAUUUGAAAAACCCCUAGUUUUCUAUUUUUUUGUCGUUUUGCAAUUUGGCUUUUUCUUUCUGUUGCGUGUUCAUUUGUUUUGCAGGUGUCAGACGCGUGAGGAGGCGUGUGGCGGCCAGGGGCAGAAGACCUAAGUGCGGUGCACCUAGGGUUGGCAAUCUUUUGUUUUCUUUCUGUUAAGGGUAUUGGGUUAGGGUUAGGGAUUUUUGUAUUGGGCUUAAGUCCUGUAAUGAAUUGGGUUUAAUGUUUUCAUUUUGGUGUUUGGUUUUGUUUGGGCCAUAUUGGGCCCCGGGCAAAAAUGGGCUUGUACACGUAUUUAUAUUUUUAUUCUUUAAUAAAUUGUUUUAUUUCA